UUGCUUUUAAAAUCAAAAGUUGAUUUAGUUUGAUUUAAUUAUUUUCUCAAAUUAUUAUUUUUUUUUUUUUCAAAGCUAAACGAUUGUUGUUAAUCAAAAUUUUUUCUGCUUUAAUUUUGAACUUCUUUCACUGAAUUGGAUUACUUUUGUCACGAAGGGAUGCUUUAAAGUUGACGUUGGAGUCACUUGUCGACUCAAAUAAAAAUCGUUGGUUCAAUUGGAUUUGUUCGAUGAUUGUUGGGUUAUACCAAAUCCCUAAAGAAUAAAAUUCAGAGUUAGCUCUACCUAAUUUUGGUUUAAUUAUAUGAUAUAUUUUCGAAUUCUUACCAUUUGGGAUCAAUGAAUAGGAGUCUCUUACAGACACUGGGUCUGAUGUUUUCUUGAAGAACCGAAUCGGACUCGAAUUCAGACUUCUGAAGACGGUGACUCUUCAAGACCAAAGUUAAUUUUUGCUUAACGGUACGGAGAUUCCAGAUUCCAGAAGAUUUCUGUGUCCAGAACACGGAAAGGAACUCUGAAUGACAACCGCCAAUCAGUAUGGAUUUCAAGGCAAAUUCUUAAUAAAAUUAUCCCCCUAAGGAAUGACAUUUUUGGAUUAAACUACCGUUUUUCAUUCACUUCUAGAGAAAUAUCAAGUCUUACCAAUUUUUGGGGAUGGUUCAGAUUUGAGAAUCCUGGGUAUUCGAACCAACUGAUGGUGGCGUUCUAUCGAGCCAAGAUCCUAUGUGGGGUUAAUACAACCCGAUAAAAAAAAAUAAGAAGCAGACUCUGGUGUCUGGUUGCAACCACUGGAUGAAUUUUCAGUUGUUGGGGCGAUGCUGAUUUAUAAAAUUCUUACCUAGUUGGGAAAUUAUUUUCCUGAUUUGGUUUCAGGAUCACUUCAAGACGAGUUUGUCUAAUUUUGGAGUUUCAACCC